UUACAAUGGCAAUUACUUGCCUCAUUUUGGGUGAUAUAUUUUAACAAAAUAUUUCAAUCUUAUAACGAACCCCUGUUGAAACAAUGAAGUUUUUAUUUUAAUUAUAACGGUUCUGUUAGGUACAUUGUUUUCUAUGUUUUUGAAUUAGCUAAUAUUAAAAUAAUACAUAUAAUAAUAAUGUUAUUGUAGAACAUAAUGGCUAAUAAUGGAAUUGUUGCCGCUGAUCCUAGGAUCAAUGUUGAUGCGAACUGCCUCACUAGAUAUAUGAGAUAAUAGAAAAGGAUUAGAGGGCUCAC
rnacentral:lncRNA from 1 species